GCAGGAUGUAGCUCAAUGGCAAAGCGCUUGCCUGGCAUGUGCAGGCGGACCGUGGGUUCAAGCCCCAGCACCGCA
rnacentral:tRNA from 1 species